AAGGAAUUAGUUAAUUAAUAACACUGAUAUGUCAAAUCAAAAUAACCAUUUAGGUAUUCCUUU
rnacentral:tRNA from 1 species